GGUGGCAACAGCUCAAUCUCCAAGCCGUGGGGGACAAUCUUUCACUGUAGCAGAGUCUGGUCGUGAGAUUGUAAAGGAUAACAUUCCUACGUUCUGCCAGUAAUGAAAGACCCGGAAACGGCUGUCAGAUACAUGAUCACCCCAGUCUGAACUGGCUUCCACCAACCACCUGUGUUCUCUAAGAAGAAUGGUGCUACAAUUAAACAAGCACAAGCAGACAUUAGUGGAUGGUUGACUCUCUGAAUAUGCAGGAUUCCACUGCCUAAGAGGACCAUGUACAGAGAUUCUUUCACCUUGUUAUCGGUCCCCAAACAACAUGAGAUGCCAACUGCUUAUUAGGCAUUUAAAUGGCAUCAUAAGCCAACUAGAGGUAAUUU